AUAGUACUCACAAAGUUGGUGACUCUCACUGAUGAAGUCAAAAAAAUGCAGAUGAGCGUGUCUCACUCUGGAAUUGAAAUAACAAGGACGGACACCUUGGAAGAAUUCGAGAGGGAGGAGGCUUCUCUUCAGGAAACAACCAAAUUUGAAACCUUGGUUCGUCAGCUGGCAAGAGUGGGGGGGGAGACGUUAAAGACUGCACACACAAAGUGUUGGACAGGCUCUUCACCAAUCAACUCAUGACCCUAUUCAACAUGAAGGGGAAGGGCAAAAAAUAAAAAAUAGGAUUUGAAGACAAGAAAUGGUUUUCAGCAAUAAAAG